GCAUAUCAAUAAGCGGAGGAAAAGAAACCAACCGGGAUUGCCCUAGUAACGGCGAGUGAAGCGGCAAAAGCUCAAAUUUGAAAUCUGCCUUUGGCCGAGUUGUAAUUUGAAGAUGGCAUUUAGGAAUUGUCCCUGCUCAAGUUCCUUGGAACAGGACAUCAUGGAGGGUGAGAAUCCCGUGAUGCGGGGGUUGCAAUUCUGUGUUAUUUGCUUUCGAAGAGUCGAGUUGUUUGGGAAUGCAGCUCUAAGUGGGUGGUAAAUUCCAUCUAAAGCUAAAUAUUGGCGAGAGACCGAUAGCGAACAAGUACUGUGAAGGAAAGAUGAAAAGAACUUUGAAAAGAGAGUGAAAAAGUACGUGAAAUUGUUGAAAUGGAAGGGCUUGAAUCUAGACAUGGUGUUUAUGUUCCACUUUUCAUUUGAGAGGUGUACUCAUGCUCACCGGGCCAGCAUCAGUUUAGAGGGUAGGAUAAAGACUUGGGAAUGUGGCAGUUCGCUGUGUUAUAGCCCUUGUUCAUACUACCACUUUGGACUGAGGACCGCUUAUAGGAUGCUGGCGUAAUGGAUUCAAGCCACCCGUCUUGAAACACGGACCAAGGAGUCUAUUGCCUAUGCGAGUGUUUGGGUGUUAAACCCUAGCGCGUAAUGAAAGUGAACGUAGGUUGGGGCCUUCGGGUGCACAAUCGACCGACCCUGAUGUUUUCGGAUGGGUUUGAGUAAGAGCAUAGUUGAUGGGACCCGAAAGAUGGUGAACUAUGCCUGAAUAGGGUGAAGCCAGAGGAAACUCUGGUGGAAGCUCGUAGCGGUUCUGACGUGCAAAUCGAUCGUCAAAUUUGGGUAUAGGGGCGAAAGACUAAUCGAACCAUCUAGUAGCUGGUUCCUGCCAAAG
rnacentral:rRNA from 1 species